GAGCGAGUCUGCCUUGAAGAUCGGAGUGCUUGCACUCUGUGAAAACAAAGAUACAGGCUAGCGGCGGACGGGGUGAGUAACACGUGGGUAAACCUGCCCAAAGAGAUCGGGGAUAACACCUGGGAAACAGAUGCUAAAUACCCGGAUAACAAACAGAUGAUGCCUAUCAACUGUUUAAAAGAUGGGUUCUGCUAUCACUCUUGGAUGGGACCUGCGGUGCAUUAGCUAGUUGGUAGGGGUAACGGGCCUACCAAGGCGAUGAUGCAUAGCCCGAGUUGAGAGACUGAUCGGGCCACAUUGGGGACUGAGACACGGGCCCAAAACUCCUACGGGGAGGCAGCAGUAGGGAAUCUUCCACAAUGGACGCAAGUCUGAUGGAGCAACGCCGCGUGAGUGAAGAAGGGUUUCGGCUACGUAAAAGCUCUGUUGUUGGUGAAGAAGGACAGGGGUAGUAACUGACCUUUGUUUGACGGUAAUCAAUUAGAAGUCACGGCUAACUACGUGCCAGCAGCCGCGGUAAU
rnacentral:rRNA from 1 species